CUGUAAUCCCAGCACUUUGGGAGGCUGAGGCGGGUGGAUCACGAGGUUAGGAAUUGUAGACAAGCCUGGCCAACAUGGUGAAACCCUGUCUCUACUAAAAAUA